CAGCAGCCGCGGUAAUACGUAGGGGGCUAGCGUUGUCCGGAAUUACUGGGCGUAAAGGGCGUGUAGGCGGCCUGUUAAGUCAGGGGUGAAAGACCGGGGCUCAACCCCGGGGGUGCCUCUGAAACUGGCGGGCUUGAGUGCUCUAGAGGGCAGUGGAAUUCCCGGUGUAGCAGUGAAAUGCGUAGAGAUCGGGAGGAACACCAGUGGCGAAGGCGGCUGCCUGGGGAGUCACUGACGCUGAGGCGCGAAAGCUAGGGGAGCAAACAGGAUUAGAUACCCUGGUAGUCCUAGCCGUAAACGAUGAGCGCUAUGUGUGAGGGGUAUCGACCCCCUUCGUGCAGUAGCUAACGCAUUAAGCGCUCCGCCUGGGGAGUACGGCCGCAAGGUUGAAACUUAAAGGAAUUGGCGGG
rnacentral:rRNA from 1 species